rnacentral:rRNA from 1 species
UAAUACAGAGACCUCAAGCGUUAUCCGGAAUCAUUGGGCGUAAAGCGUACCGAUAGGUGGUUAAGAAAGUCAGAUGUGAAAUCUCCGAGCUCAACUCGGAAUCUGUCAUUUGAAACUUCUUGACUAGAGGAGCAAAGAGGAAGCUGGAACGAACGGUGUAGUAGUGAAAUGCGUUGAUAUCGUUCGGAACACCAAUAGCGUAGGCAGGCUUCUGGGUGCUACCUGACACUGCUAGGACGAAAGCGUGGGGAGCGAAGGGGAUUAGAUACCCCCGUAGUCCACGCUGUAAACGAUGUACAUUAGGCGCUAGGGAGUAUCGACCCUCUUUAGUGCCAAAGCUAACGCGUUAAAUGUACCGCCUGGGGAGUACGGCCGCAAGGCUA